CAGUAGCCGCGGUAACACGAAGGGUGCAAGCGUUACUCGGAAUUACUGGGCGUAAAGCGUGCGUAGGUGGUGGUUUAAGUCCGUUGUGAAAGCCCUGGGCUCAACCUGGGAAUUGCAGUGGAUACUGGGUCACUAGAGUGUGGUAGAGGAUAGUGGAAUUUCCGGUGUAGCAGUGAAAUGCGUAGAGAUCGGAAGGAACAUCUGUGGCGAAGGCGACUAUCUGGGCCAACACUGACACUGAGGCACGAAGGCGUGGGGAGCAAACAGGAUUAGAUACCCCGGUAGUCCCUGUCUCUUAUAC
rnacentral:rRNA from 1 species